rnacentral:lncRNA from 1 species
UUUUAUGCCUUUUUUAAAGGAGUGGCAUUUUUGUAAUAUUUUCGUCAUCUACCUUAAAACAUUUAAGGUUUUCUACAAUUAUUUGUUGCGGCCGCCAUAGAUUAGUUUCCUCUAUUUCGUCAUUAUUUUUGCGUUUUCUCUCGUUUUUCAUGCUUUAAACUUGUAGAAAUGUGAUAUAACAUCAGAUUUCAAACAUUUCAACCCAAAAACUAAGAUGUUUUGAUUUUGCCAGUUUUAAUGGCCGAGUUAGGCAAAAUGCCACGGUCUGCAACCGCCAAGCAUUGUACCGCCGGUUAAUCGGGCGCCCAAGCAGCGUUUUCGAACAUGGGUAUUAAGUAAUAAUUUUUUUUUAUUCUUAUUAUGUUGGUUAUAUGUUUUUUAUUUAUUUUUAAACUUGUUGCUUUUACCAUACCUUUAAAACAAAUAUAUGAUGACUUGUAGAAAUAACUAUAAAAUGAGUGAAAACUAGUAUUUGAGCCUUAAAACGAAUAUAUAAAUAUUUCGCAUAAGAAGACAAUAACAUUGGCCUGUUGACAUUGAG